GGAUUAUCAAAAACCUCCCGGAACUCCUGUUUGAACUCUAUGAAUGUUUGGCGUAAUGUCAUCUGAUCUAACCAGGGGACAGACCAGGUGAAUGGUUUUCUGGUAUGUUCUCUUCCAGAAUAACAAAGUACUCAUCCACAGGACAUGAGGGCUUACGGAAUGAUUUGGAACUUGGGGACCAUGGAAGCCCUCUGCUUGUUUGUUCCCUGUUGAUGCGAGGGUUUGUUGCCAGGGGUUCCACAAGACUUGUGUAGGAACAGCAUGUUCAUGCUGG